GGAGGAUUCAACGAUGACUUGCUCCGCCUCUGACCUUAAGGAGAGUGCUACCCAAUAAGAGAGUCAGACAGGAACAGAGCCACUCCUAAAGCAAAGCAGAACAUUCUGUGAGUGAUUGAUCAUAGAGAUUUAGCUGCACCCAUGGAGUUGGACAUCUGGGAGGCUCAACAGAGGAGCAGCAUCAAUAAAAUUAUUGAAAACUAUGGUUUCUGGUCUCACGUAAGGAGACUGGAAGUUGUCACUCCUGGCCUCACAACAAGAAAAAAGAUGAACAAAUUCUUGUUAAAUCCAUCAGAGAACUGAUUCCCAGGGCAAACUGCUGUCCCCUAAAUUGGAGGGACAGAUGAGUGGAUACAGAGAAUCACAGCUUACGGGAGCAGAAGCCACCAUGGGAACCCACCCUGGAGUAAGAAAACCUAAAUUGUAACUGAGGAAUUGCUGGACAAGCUCAGAAACUCCAGGGAGACCCAGUUGUAGGGGGAACCCCACACUUGCAUGAGUUUUACUCCCAGGAGCUCUACUAGAUUCUUAUAGUGUAGAUCAGAGAAAAAUCACACUUCUGGCAGAGGUAAGAGGGAACUAACCAUUUGGAAAUAUGCCCAGAGUGUUCUGUUCUCAGUAGCAAAAGACUGCCCCCAAGCAAAACUAUUUUACUAACCACUUCGGAUUUUGCCACAGUGUAACCUGCCUGGGCAAGAGAAAUGCCCAACUCCAGCCCCCUCUACCCUUCCUGCCUAAGGGGGAAAAAAACAAAACAAAACAAAACAAAAUGAGAAGCUGUGUGAAGGUCUCAGCCCAGGGAUACAGACCCACUAGAGGAAGGAGACCAAAUCAGAGGACCAGAGAAUGCUUCCCUUCCCCAUACCUGACCAUCUCCCCAGCAGACUCCUGUGUCAUAACAGGAAUGCAGCGGAAAGAAUGGCACCUCUCAACCUGCUUUAAGAAGAAAUCUCUAGCAAGUCCCAAAGACGACGGGGAGCCAGGAGCUGGGACACCCAAAGAGAGUAGCUCCUGACACAUUCCAGUGACAGCAGACACAGCCCAGCUCCUAGCCAGAUAAACAUAUAACCUUUCCUGGAAGGCCUCUGCACCUCUGUUCCUUUUACCCAUCACCUCACAUCACAUAUAGCUUCCAAUCAAAACAUUGAAAACUAACUAAACAAAAGCAGAAAGGAGUGCAAGAAAAAGCCACGCAUGCACAUACAAUCAGACCCUUCCCUUGGCUUAUUGUUUCCUCUGCUCCUACUCUGGUCCCAGACAUUGCCAUCUCAGCUUGGUCAUUUUCCAAUUCUAAUUUCAGCCCUCUUCUAUGGGAGUAUCCUCUCCUCUUUUCCAUCCUGGCCCUGCGGGUUAGGAAAUCCAAACAUGACUCUCCCCUCAACCUUGUACUCAUUGGCUCCAAAAGUUUAGCUCAUGCUAUUCCGUCUUCUGGGGGUACCAUUUGAAUCUACUUUACCAAAUCUAACCAACCCUUGAGGACUCAGCUGCUUCAGCACAGACCUGCACAUCCUCUACCGGUGUCUCCAUUCGGAGCCAGUGCUGAGGAAGCCAGGACAGAGGUUAUCCUUCCUUCCAUAAGUGGGAUUCAGCAUGAAGGCAAGACUGUCAUGGGAAGAGGAGUGGGGGUGCAUAUCCAGGCUCCUGGCUCUUCCACACACUCACCUGACGUGACUUGGGCAAGCCACUUGUUCCUUUUGAGUCUUACUUACUUCAAAAUGAAAGGAAUAUCUCCCCUGCAUCACAACUUUAGGUUUCUGGGCAAGAUCUUCUGUGAGGAAGUUACAAACUUGCAGGUAGCUUUAUUCACAUAGAGAGUGGUUAUUAAGAAAUCUUGUAUUAUUUCAUUUUCCUUGUAUUAGUCUUUUCUGUCAACUAGUUUGCAAGUUCUUUUUGGGCAGGAUCUCUGCUGUAACCCUCUUUGUAUGUGCUGAUUGUCCAGUAACAUGCAUGUAAUAAGCACACUGUGAAUAAUUUUCUGAGCCAAUCACUGCUUUUGUGGCUCAUAAGGGUAUAUUUCCGCAGGCUGAGACCAUUGCAUAUCAUCCCUUCCCCAUCUUCAGCAGAGAUAUCUGUUAUUGAGCAUUACAGAUUAAAAUCUCUGCAAACAAAAUACAAAUCUAUAAUUGAGUUAAUGUUUCAUUAUUUUACAUUGUUUCAUUUUAAAAGCAAAGCAAUAUGAAGUGGCUUUUUAAAUUUUAUAAAGCAAAAUGUGAAUAGUCUUUUCUCAUCGAUAAUGGCAUCACAUUCUCUUUAUCACUUGAUAUCAGGCAUAUUACUGCUAAAAUGGUGGUGAUCAUAUAAUGAAUUCUGACAGCAUGAGUUCAG
rnacentral:lncRNA from 10 species